UACGAAGGGUGCAAGCGUUACUCGGAAUUACUGGGCGUAAAGCGUGCGUAGGUGGUUGUUUAAGUCUGUUGUGAAAGCCCUGGGCUCAACCUGGGAAUUGCAGUGGAUACUGGGCGACUAGAGUGUGGUAGAGGGUAGUGGAAUUCCCGGUGUAGCAGUGAAAUGCGUAGAGAUCGGGAGGAACAUCUGUGGCGAAGGCGACUGCCUGGACCAGCACUGACACUGAGGCACGAAAGCGUGGGGAGCAAACAGG
rnacentral:rRNA from 1 species